UACCUGGUUGAUCCUGCCAGUAGUCAUAUGCUUGUCUCAAAGAUUAAGCCAUGCAUGUGUAAGUAUGAACAAAUUCAGACUGUGAAACUGCGAUGGCUUAUUAAAUCAGUUAUAGUUUGUUGAUGGUAUCUUGCUACUCGGAUAACCGUAGUAAUUUCUAGAGCUUAAUACGUGCAACAAACCCCGACUUCUGGAAAGGAUGCAUUUAUUAGAUAAAAGGUCGACGCGGGCUUUACCCGUUGCUGCGAUGAUUCAUGAUAACUCGACGGAUCGCAUGGCCCUUGUGCCCCAACGCAUCAUUUCAAAUUUCUGCCCUAUCAACUUUUCGAUGGUAGGGUGCCUACUAUGGAUGGUGAACGGCCCGUGACGGAGAAUUAGGGCGUUCGAUUCCGGAGAGGAGCCUGAGAGAAACGGCUACCACAUCCAAGGAAGGCAGCAGGCUUGCGCAACAUUACCCAAUCCUGACACGGGGAGUAGUGAUAAUAAAUAACAAUACGGGCUCAUACGAGUCUGGUAAUUGGAAUGAGUACAAUCUAAUCCCUUAACGAGGAUCCAUUGGAGGCAAGUCUGGUGCCAGCAGCCGCUAGGUAAUUCCAGCUCCAAUAGCGUAUAUUUAAGUUGUUGCAGUUAAAAAGCUCGUAGUUGGACUUUGGGUGGUCGCCGGUCCGCCAUCAGGUGAUGCACCGGUUUACUCGUCCCUUCUGUCGGCGAUACGCUCCUACCCUUAACUGGGCGUCAUUGCCUCCGGCGUUUUUACUUUGAAGAAAUUAGAGUGCUCAAAGCAAGCCUACGCUCUGUAUAUACAUCAACAUCUGCUAACCUCCUAUCUACUGAUCAUACAAACUGCUGACCUACAAACUGCUGAUCAAGACAAAAGACUGAUGAAGAACGAAAAGCUCUGCUGCUCAAUC
rnacentral:rRNA from 1 species